AGUCAAGUAAUUAAGUGCAUGUGGUGGAUGCCUUGGCAGUCAGAGGCGAUGAAAGACGUGAUAGCCUGCGAAAAGCUCCGGGGAGGCGGCAAAUAUCCUUUGAUCCGGAGAUGUCUGAAUGGGGGAACCCACCUACCUUAAGGUAGGUAUUGCAACAUGAAUACAUAGUGUUGCAAGGCGAACGAGGGGAAGUGAAACAUCUCAGUACCCUUAGGAAAAGAAAUCAAUUGAGAUUCCCUCAGUAGCGGCGAGCGAACGGGGAUCAGCCCAUUAAGUUAUGUGUGUUUUAGUGGAACGCUCUGGGAAGUGCGAACGUAGAGGGUGAUAUUCCCGUACACGGAAGGGCACACAUAAUGAUGACGAGUAGGGCGAGGCACGUGAAACCUUGUCUGAAUAUGGGGGGACCAUCCUCCAAGGCUAAAUACUCCUGACUGACCGAUAGUGAACCAGUACCGUGAGGGAAAAGGCGAAAAGAACCCCUGUGAGGGGAGUGAAAUAGAUCCUGAAACCGCAUGCAUACAAGCAGUGGGAGCACCUUCGUGGUGUGACUGCGUACCUUUUGUAUAAUGGGUCAGCGACUUAUAUUCAGUAGCGAGGUUAACCGUAUAGGGGAGCCGUAGAGAAAUCGAGUCUUAAUAGGGCGUUUAGUUGCUGGGUAUAGACCCGAAACCAGGCGAUCUAUCCAUGAGCAGGUUGAAGGUUGGGUAACACUAACUGGAGGACCGAACCCACUGUCGUUGAAAAGCCAGGGGAUGACUUGUGGAUAGGGGUGAAAGGCUAAUCAAGCCUGGUGAUAGCUGGUUCUCCCCGAAAGCUAUUUAGGUAGCGCCUCGGACGAAUACCAUAGGGGGUAGAGCACUGUUUCGGCUAGGGGGUCAUCCCGACUUACCAAACCGAUGCAAACUCCGAAUACCUAUGAGUACUAUCCGGGAGACAGACUGCGGGUGCUAACGUCCGUAGUCAAGAGGAAAACAAUCCAGACCGCCAGCUAAGGCCCCAAAAUCAUAGUUAAGUGGGAAACGAUGUGGGAAGGCAUAGACAGCUAGGAGGUUGGCUUAGAAGCAGCCACCCUUUAAAGAAAGCGUAAUAGCUCACUAGUCGAGUCGGCCUGCGCGGAAGAUGUAACGGGGCUAAAACUAUGUGCCGAAGCUGCGGAUGUAUACUUUGUAUACGUGGUAGGGGAGCGUUCUGUAAGCCGAUGAAGGUGUGUUGAGAAGCAUGCUGGAGGUAUCAGAAGUGCGAAUGCUGACGUGAGUAACGACAAAACGGGUGAAAAACCCGUUCGCCGAAAGACCAAGGGUUCCAGUCCAACGUUAAUCGGGGCUGGGUGAGUCGACCCCUAAGGCGAGGCCGAAAGGCGUAGUCGAUGGGAAAAUGGUUAAUAUUCCAUUACUUCUGUGUAAUGCGAUGAGAGGACGGAGAAGGCUAAAUCAGCCUGGCGUUGGUUGUCCAGGUGAAAGGAUGUAGGCAUGUAUCUUAGGCAAAUCCGGGGUACUCUAUGCUGAGAUCUGAUAGCAAGCUGUACUUGUACAGCGAAGUGGUUGAUGCCAUGCUUCCAGGAAAAGUCUCUAAGCUUCAGUUACACAGGAAUCGUACCCGAAACCGACACAGGUGGUCAGGUCGAGUAGACCAAGGCGCUUGAGAGAACUCUGCUGAAGGAACUAGGCAAAAUGGUACCGUAACUUCGGGAGAAGGUACGCUGUUGUUGGUGAUGGAACUCGCUUCCUGAGCUGACGACAGCCGCAGAAACCAGGCCGCUGCAACUGUUUAUUAAAAACAUAGCACUCUGCAAACACGAAAGUGGACGUAUAGGGUGUGAUGCCUGCCCGGUGCUGGAAGGUUAAUUGAUGGGGUUAGCGUAAGCGAAGCUCUUGAUCGAAGCCCCAGUAAACGGCGGCCGUAACUAUAACGGUCCUAAGGUAGCGAAAUUCCUUGUCGGGUAAGUUCCGACCUGCACGAAUGGCAUAAUGAUGGCGGCGCUGUCUCCAGCAGAGGCUCAGUGAAAUCGAAAUCGCUGUGAAGAUGCAGUGUACCCGCGGCUAGACGGAAAGACCCCGUGAACCUUUACUGCAGCUUGACACUGAACUUUGACCUUACUUGUGUAGGAUAGGUGGGAGGCUUUGAAGCUGGAACGCUAGUUCCAGUGGAGCCGUCCUUGAAAUACCACCCUGGUAAUGUUGAGGUUCUAACUCUGUCCCGUGAUCCGGGACGAGGACCGUGUCUGGUGGGUAGUUUGACUGGGGCGGUCUCCUCCUAAAGAGUAACGGAGGAGUACGAAGGUGCGCUCAGCGUGGUCGGAAAUCACGCGUAGAGUAUAAAGGCAAAAGCGCGCUUAACUGCGAGACCCACAAGUCGAGCAGGUACGAAAGUAGGUCUUAGUGAUCCGGUGGUUCUGUAUGGAAGGGCCAUCGCUCAACGGAUAAAAGGUACUCUGGGGAUAACAGGCUGAUACCGCCCAAGAGUUCAUAUCGACGGCGGUGUUUGGCACCUCGAUGUCGGCUCAUCUCAUCCUGGGGCUGAAGCAGGUCCCAAGGGUAUGGCUGUUCGCCAUUUAAAGAGGUACGCGAGCUGGGUUUAGAACGUCGUGAGACAGUUCGGUCCCUAUCUACCGUGGGCGCUGGAAAUUUGAGAGGAUCUGCUCCUAGUACGAGAGGACCAGAGUGGACGAACCUCUGGUGUACCGGUUGUGACGCCAGUCGCAUCGCCGGGUAGCUAUGUUCGGAAGGGAUAACCGCUGAAAGCAUCUAAGCGGGAAGCCUACCUCAAGAUAAGAUUUCCCUAGGACUUUAUGUCCUCUAAAGAGCCGUUCGAGACUAGGACGUUGAUAGGUUGGAUGUGGAAGCAUAGUGAUAUGUGAAGCUGACCAAUACUAAUUGCUCGUGAGGCUUGACUAUACAACACCC
rnacentral:rRNA from 1 species